rnacentral:lncRNA from 1 species
AUUUUAAUAUAUUUAAAUAUUUUAAAUUUUUAAAUAAAAUUACUAUUGGUGCUAUAUUAUCGCGUUUAGUUUAAUGCGAUAAUAUAAUACUGGAUUGCAGUGUUUAUAAUAUUACUAUAUUUUAUUAAAUAUACAGAAUAAAAGAUAAACUUGAAAUACCACCGCCGUGGCUUUGCGCAUUUUACUUUAUAGUUUAAAGUGAAUUAUUUUAGUAAUAUAUGGUUUCAUUUUUUUUCUUUUCGUCGGUACCUUCUAUAUCUCUUCGUUAAAUUAUAUAUAAAAAAAACUUUAAUAAAUACCCCCCAUCUAUGAUUGAUCGAUUAUACACUUUUGUUCCUUGUGAUUUACUAAAUUAUCACUUUAGUACCUUAUGUUUUUAAAUUUAUCAUUGAUUUAACAAAAAAA